GAUCAAGCGUCAUAAGGGCAUCUGGUGGAUGCCUUGGCACUGAGAGGCGAUGAAGGACGUAGCACGCUGCGAAAAUUCACGGGGAGCCGCGAGCAGGCAUUGAUCCGUGAGUAUCCGAAUGGGGAAACCCCACCGUAAGGUGAUCCUGCACUGAAUCCAUAGGUGUGGGAGGCGAACCCGGGGAACUGAAACAUCUAAGUACCCGGAGGAAAGGACAUCAACCGAGACUCCGCUAGUAGUGGCGAGCGAACGCGGACCAGGCCAGUGAUUAACUCUACAUAACCGGAAGUGUCUGGAAAGGCACGCCAGAGUGGGUGAUAGCCCCGUAUGGGUAAACCGGAGUUGAUCCACGAGUAGGGCGGGACACGUGAAAUCCUGUCUGAACAUGGGGGGACCACCCUCCAAGCCUAAGUACUCCUCAGUGACCGAUAGUGAACCAGUACCGUGAGGGAAAGGUGAAAAGCACCCCGACGAGGGGAGUGAAACAGCACCUG
rnacentral:rRNA from 1 species